rnacentral:lncRNA from 1 species
GGAGGUGAGCACCACGCCCCUCCCGAAUCUCCACCCUCUCUUUACAGACCCCAAAACCGAAAGAGUAAGCGGAGGACCAUCACCGGUGAGGCGGGGGCGACCCGGGGGAGGCUGGGGGCCUGUGAGCUGUCUUGAAGGGCGGGGGGCUCUUCCCCGAGCUGGGGAAACGCGUUUCCAAACCCAGGACCCCACCGCCCCUGCCUUCUGUUGUUCAUCUCGGCAGACAUCCCCUGGGUCCCUAUGAGUGUCAAACUGUGGCCCCAGAAUUGACCUGGACGAGAGGAUGGGUCGUGUCCGGAAGAUGUGCAGAUCUGAUCUACCUGUCCAAGCACCCCCAACCCCUCCUGGAGAAGGCCUCAUCUAACCCGCAGGAAGUUGCCGAGGAGGUACCCGGAGAAAAACUCAGUAUGUGUUUCCAAGAAAGUUGAACCGUAGCUGACCCUUCCCUGGUCAACGGGAAGACCACAGAAGAGAGCCACCAGGGAAAUCAAUUACAUUGGCCUCUCUAGCCAGCUGCCCAGCCCAGCACGCAGCCACCACCCCCUGCCAUUUCCACCACUCUAUGCUCCUCUCUGCCCAACCCUUGUCUUCAAAUUGUACCCAGGACUCAGACUUGCUCAUUACCAGUGAAGCACAUGCCAGCCAUGAGCUAGAACAGCCCACAGCAUCUGCCAGGCUUUAGAGAUGGUGUCUCUACUAAACCGAGAGCAGAACUGACACUCAGAGCCACUGGAGCAGAAAUUGCCAGGGCUUGAUUGGAUCCUCCCUUCCCCGAAUGCUGCCACGACCUCCUGAGCAUGUGAACUUCUCCGAUCCAAUUGAGUGUGACCCAUUUUCUCUACUGAAACCAAAUAAAACACCC